GUUACCAGUUGGGCCAAGACAGCUGAUGUGAAUUUAUCCAACUCCUUAAAUGGUUUGAGCUUCAUGGGAAUUCUGGACGCAAGAGUGGGCAGUGGUGUCCAGGCCCUUCAAAACUUGAACUCUGGGACCCCGAGAUCUCUCUCACUGGCUGAGUAUGGGCCUGGCCAGCUCUCCAGUGCUAUAGAAGAUUGUCAUAGCCUUAAAUCAGUGGAUUCUGGUAUUCCGACUCUAGAAAUAGGAAAUCCAGAGCCUGUUCACUGCAGCGUGUUAAAUGUGAAGAGAAAGCAGUCGGAGCCUGAAAUUAUGCCUGACAGGGCUUUUCAGAGUGCGUGCCCGCUGCCGUCGUAUGUGCCUCCACAUCCUCUGACUUCUGAACGUGACCAUGCCGUGCGAAAAUCCUCGACUUUCCCAAGAACUGGGUAUGACACUGUCAAACUUUACAGUCCAACCUCAAAGACUCUGAAUCGAAGUGAUGAUAUCUCUGUCUGUAGUGUUUCCAGUCUUAGCACAGAGCUGUCAACAACUUUAUCAGUUAGCAAUGAAGACAUUUUGGACUUUGUGGUCACAAGCAGUUCAAGUGCAAUUGUGAAUCUCGAGACUGAUGAGGCACACUUCUCGGAUGUUACCCUGAAUUCCACUAAAGAGAGCAAUGAUCAGAGCCAGCAGGAGUGUUGUCAAGAGACAGAUGUGGACAGUAAGCGAAAAAUUUUGGGACCUUUUACAAGCUUCUUUGCCAGGUAA